GACGUAGGGCGCGAGCGUUGUCCGGAUUUAUUGGGCGUAAAGAGCUCGUAGGCGGCUCGUUGCGUCGGCUGUGAAAACCCGCGGCUCAACCGUGGGCUUGCAGCUGAUACGGGCGGGCUGGAGUUCGGUAGGGGAGACUGGAAUUCCUGGUGUAGCGGUGAAAUGCGCAGAUAUCAGGAGGAACACCGAUGGCGAAGGCAGGUCUCUGGGCCACUACUGACGCUGAGAAGCGAAAGCAUGGGGAGCGAACAGG
rnacentral:rRNA from 1 species